rnacentral:rRNA from 1 species
CUGACUGCUAUCGGAUUGGUACUAAGCCAUGCGAGUCAUUGUAGCAAUACAAGGCGGACGGCUCAGUAACACGCAGUCAACCUAACUCGUGGACGUGGAUAACCUCGGGAAACUGAGAAUAAACCACGAUAGAUCAUAGUGCCUGGAAUGGCUUAUGGUCCAAACAGUUUACUGCCAUGGGAUGGGACUGCGGCCUAUCAGCUUGUUGGUGAGGUAAUGGCCCACCAAGGCGAUUACAGGUACGGGCUCUGAGAGGAGUAGCCCGGAGAUGGGUACUGAGACACGGACCCAGGCCCUAUGGGGCGCAGCAGGCGAGAAACCUUAGCAAUGUGCGAAAGCACGACUGGGUCAGUCCGAGUGAUUCCUGAUAAAGGAGUCUUUUGCCUGUCCUAAAAGCACAGGUGAAUAAGGGGUGGGCAAGUCUGGUGUCAGCCGCCGCGGUAAUACCAGCACCUCGAGUGGUCAGGACGUUUAUUGGGCCUAAAGCAUCCGUAGCCGGCUCUGCAAGUCUUCGGUUAAAUCCACCUGCUCAACAGAUGGGCCGCUGGAGAUACUACAGAGCUAGGGAGUGGGAGAGGCAGACGGUAUUCAGUGGGUAGGGGUAAAAUCCUCUGAUCCAUUGAGGACCACCAGUGGCGAAGGCGGUCUGCCAGAACACGUUCGACGGUGAGGGAUGAAAGCUGGGGGAGCAAACCGGAUUAGAUACCCGGGUAGUCCCAGCUGUAAACGAUGCAAACUCGGGUGAUGCAUUGGCUUAUGGCCAAUGCAGUGCCGCACGGAAGCCGUUAAGUUUGCCGCCUGGGAAGUACGGACGCAAGUCUGAAACUUAAAGGAAUUGGCGGGGG